rnacentral:rRNA from 1 species
GUUGAACGCUGGCGGCCGGCUUAACACAUGCAAGUCGAGCGGAGAUGAGGUGCUUGCACCUUAUCUUAGCGGCGGACGGGUGAGUAAUGCUUAGGAAUCUGCCUAUUAGUGGGGGGACAACAUUCCGAAAGGAAUGCUAAUACCGCAUACGUCCUACGGGAGAAAGCAGGGGAUCUUCGGACCUUGCGCUAAUAGAUGAGCCUAAGUCGGAUUAGCUAGUUGGUGGGGUAAGGGCCUACCAAGGCGACGAUCUGUAGCGGGUCUGAGAGGAUGUUCCGCCACACUGGGACUGAGACACAGCCCAGAGUCCUACGGGAGGCAGCAGUGGGGAAUAUUGGGCAAUGGGCGGAAGCCUGAUCCAGCCAUGCCGCGUGUGUGAAGAAGGCCUUUUGGUUGUAAAGCACUUUAAGCGAGGAGGAGGCUACCUAGAUUAAUACUCUGGGAUAGUGGACGUUACUCGCAGAAUAAGCACCGGCUAACUCUGUGCCAGCCGCCGCCGUAAAAC